AUAUCUAUGUAUUGGUUGCAAGCACGGCUAUGAAAGUAAUAAAUAUUUUGUAAUCUGUUCUUAUCAGUUUAAUAUCUGAUACGUCCCCCAUCGGGGGACUACAUAUUAAAUGGAUUUUUCGAACAUGGGGCUUGCUCCGUCCGCUCCACGCAUCGACCCGGUAUUGCAGUACCUCCGGGAACGGUGCACCACUU
rnacentral:snRNA from 1 species